UACGAAGGGGGCUAGCGUUGCUCGGAAUCACUGGGCGUAAAGCGCACGUAGGCGGCUUUUUAAGUCAGGGGUGAAAUCCUGGAGCUCAACUCCAGAACUGCCUUUGAUACUGGGAAGCUUGAGUCCGGGAGAGGUGAGUGGAACUCCGAGUGUAGAGGUGAAAUUCGUAGAUAUUCGGAAGAACACCAGUGGCGAAGGCGGCUCACUGGCCCGGUACUGACGCUGAGGUGCGAAAGCGUGGGUAGCAAACAGG
rnacentral:rRNA from 1 species